rnacentral:rRNA from 1 species
UACGUAGGGGGCAAGCGUUGUCCGGAAUUAUUGGGCGUAAAGAGCUUGUAGGCGGUUUGUCGCGUCUGCUGUGAAAUUUCGGGGCUCAACCCCGAACUUGCAGUGGGUACGGGCAGACUAGAGUGUGGUAGGGGAGACUGGAAUCCCUGGUGUAGCGGUGAAAUGCGCAGAUAUCAGGAGGAACACCGGUGGCGAAGGCGGGUCUCUGGGCCGAAACUGACGCUGAGGAGCGAAAGCGUGGGGAGCAAACAGG